rnacentral:rRNA from 1 species
AUUGAACGCUGGCGGCAUGCCUUACACAUGCAAGUCGAACGUCAGCACGGGUGCUUGCACCUGGUGGCGAGUGGCGAACGGGUGAGGAAUACAUCGGAACGUACCUUAUCGUGGGGGAUACCGCAGCGAAAGCUGUGCUAAUACCGCAUACGCCCUGAGGGGGAAAGCGGGGGAUCGCAAGACUACGCGCGAUUAGAGCGGCCGAUGCCUGAUUAGCUUGUUGGUGGGGUAAAAGCCCACCAGGGCGACGAUCAGUAGCUGGUCUGAGAGGACGAUCAGCCACACUGGGACUGAGACACGGCCCAGACUCCUACGGGAGGCAGCAGUGGGGAAUUUUGGACAAUGGGGGCGACCCUGAUCCAGCAAUGCCGCGUGAGUGAAGAAGGCCUUCGGGUUGUAAAGCUCUUUUGUCAGGGAAGAAACACCGGCUCUAACACAGUCUGGGAAUGGCGGUACCUGAAGAAUAAGCACCGGCUAACUACGUGCCAGCCGCCGCAGUAA